AGGCGCUGUCUACGAGUCGGGUUG
rnacentral:snRNA from 1 species